UAACCCUGGGGACGCUAGAGACAACACAGGACAGGACAGAAGGCAUGUAUACUACUACACUACACUACUGCACUGACAUGGACCAUGUUGUGUUUGUGUACCCAAUCUAGCAGCAGCAGUACUGCGUAGGAAGGUGCACGGUAACACAAUAUGAUUAAACUAUCAUACUGCAUAGGAGAACAGUCUAAUGCUGGAUAAACUCAGACAGCAGUGUGAUGUUCCUGUUUUUUGUUUUUAUGAUAAUCCCAGGUAAGCUACGUAUGAAAAACCCAACAGGCUAUCUUUCUUGGUUAGAGAUGUUCUUUAGUGUACAACUUCAUCCUUAUGCCGUAAGCGUUGCUUUCAGAUCUUAAAGGUCCAAUUUUUAUCUCAAUAUCAAAUGAUUUCCUGGUAACAAUUAAGUAAUUUACUGUGAUUGUUUUCAAUUAAAAUGGUCAAAAAGAAACAAAAAUAGCAUCUUAGCAAUUUCUCAAGAAACAAUUUUGCUAGGGACUGCAUGGGAGUUGUCUGGGUGGAAAACUAGCUGUAGUUGGCAGAGAGGUUUGGAACUCUCUUUCUUAUUGGUCUAUUAAAGAAUUUACCACCUGGUGAUGUCACAAGGCAGGCCAAAACUAAAUCCCACCACAACAGGCUGACAUUUCUUACACUAAAAGAUAUGGAGUCAUUAUCAUAAUUUUCAAAAUGUCACAGUAUUAUUCCAACCUCAUAGUGUGUAAAUACACACUAUAUACAAAAGUAUGUGGACAGCCCUUCAAAUUUGCGGAUUUGGCUAUUUCAGCCACACCCGUUGCUGACAGGUGUAUAAAAUCGAGCAUACAGCCAUGCAAUCUCCAUAGACAAACAUUGGCAGUAGAAUUUUGGCCAUGUACUGUUAUAAUCUCAACCCGGCACAGCCAAAAGAGGACUGGCCACCCCUCAGAGCCUGGUUCCUCUCUAGGUUUCUGCCUUUCUAGGGAGUUUUUCCUAGCCACUGUGCUUCCACAUCUGCAUUGCUUGCUGUUUGGGGUUUUAGGCUGGGUUCCUGUAUAGCACUUUGUGACAUCGGCUGAUGGAAAAAGGGCUUUAUAAAUAAAUGUGAUUGAUUGAAUGGCCUUACUGAAGAGCUCAGUGUCUUUCAAGGUGGCACCGUUGAGCAGCCCCGGUCCACUGUAAGUGCUUUUAUUGUGAAGUGGAAAUGUCUAGGAGCAACAACGGCUCAGCCGCGAAGUGGUAGACCACACAAGCUCACAGAACGGGACCGCCGAGUGCUGAAGCGCGUAAAAAUGGAUUGUCCUCGGUUGCAACACGAUUCCAAACUACCUCUGGAAGCAACAUCAGCACAUUACCUGUUCAUCGGGAGCUUCGUGAAAUGGGUUUUCAUGGCCGAGCAGCCUAUUCCUCUUAAUAUAAUUACACUCAUUUAGUUCUACCCCCGGCCUUGCAGUGAAAUAAAUCACCAGCCAGCUUCUUUGCAGGCAUUAUAUGAAACACCUGUCAUGGUUAAGACCAUUAGCAGAGUGGAGUAGGCAGAAGACUGCAGUCAAUCGACAAAAACAACAACAUACCACCAGCAAUUUAGCUGCAAGCUGGAGGUAAAGUGUGUCAAAUUCAUGGUGUAAAUAUCAUCUAAAUAUACCCAUUCAAUGAAGAUGAAAAGCUUACAUCUCCUUAUAUCUCAGUAGAUUUUCAAUGUAAAACAAGGUUCCCGUGCCCCCUGGGGGAACUUGAUUUACUGUGACCCGGGGAAAGUUAUUUAUGCCUCAGUGAGACAGGCAAGGCCUUAAAUUUAGCUCAGUUUAUUUAUGUCGGACAGGCAGCAUAGGCAUGAGUGACUAAACGGACACAGAAUCCACACACACCCACUCUCCAGUGCUGAGAUGACCAUGUCACAACCCUGGACCUGGGCUAUUCAGAGCUUUCAGUUGACCCGUCAUUAGCUAUGAUGACAGUCAUGCUGACUCUACUGGUAAACCUUCACUGAUUUAUAACACUUAUCAGGCUUCAGAAAUAACAUUACAUAAAGGAACAUCAUUUCAACGGAGAAAACCAUCGCAAUCAAAUAUUUCUCUAUAACUGCCAAGAGACGGUUCUAAUAUAUAUACUGUAUAUACACAGUGCCAGAAACUAUUCAUACCCCUUGGCUUAUUCCACCAUCUUGUUGUGUUACAGCCUGCAUUCAAAAUGUAUUACAUAAAAAAAAUGUCUCGCCCAUCUACACACAAAUACCCAUAAUGACAAUGUGAAAAUAUGUUUUUAGAAAUGUUUGCAAAUUUGUUGAAAAUGAAAUACAGUAAACUUUCAAAAGUUUGGGGUCACUUAGAAAUGUCCUUGUUUUUGAAAGAAAGGCUCUUUUUUUGUCCAUUAAAAUAACAUCAAAUUGAUCAGAAAUAUAGUGUAGACAAUGUUAAUGUUGUAAAUGACUAUUGUAGCUGGAAACGGCAGAUUUUUUUAUGGAACAUCUACAUAGAUGUACAGAGGCCCAUUAUCCGCAACCAUCACUCGUGAGUUCCAACGCCACGUUGUGUUAGCUAAUCCAAGUUUAUAAUUUUAAAAGGCUAAUUGAUCAUUAGAAAACCCGUUUGCAAUUAUUUUAGCACAGCUGAAAACUGUUGUGCUCAUUGAAGAAGCAAUUCAACUGGCCUUCUUUAAACUAGUUGAGUAUCUGGAGCAUCAGCAUUUGUGGGUUCAAUUACAGGCUCAAAAUGGCCAGAAACAAAGACCUUUCUUCUGAAACUCGUCAGUCUAUUCUUGUUCUGAGAAAUUAAGGCUAUUCCAUGCGAGGAAUUGCCAAGAAAUUUAAGAUCUCGUACAACGCUGUGUACUACUCCCUUCACAGAACAGCACAAACUGUCUCUAACCAGAAUAGAAAGAGGAGUGGGAGGCCCUGGUGCACAACUGAGCAAGAGGGCAAGUACGUUAGAGUGUCUAGUUUGAGAAACAGACGCCUCAGAAGUCCUCAACUGGCAGCUUCAUUAAAUAGUACGCGCAAAACACCAGUCUCAACGUCAACAGUGAAGAGGCGAUUCCGGGAUUUCAGCUUUUAAUUUUGUCUACAUUUCUAAACAUGUCUACAAACAAAAUUCAAUUUUGACAUUAUGGGGUAUUGUGCGUAAAUUAGAGACAAAAAUCUCAAUUAAAUACAUUUUAAAUUCAGGCUGUAACACAACAAAAUGUGGAAUAGGUAAAGGGGUGUGAAUACUUUCUGAAGGCACUAUAUAUAGUGCAGUUGGAAAGUAUUCAGACCCCUUCACAUAUUCCACAUUUUGUUACGUUACAGCCUUAUUCUGAAAUGGAUAAAAUAGUUUCCCCCUACUCAAUCUACACACAAUACCCCCAUAAUGACAAAGCAAAAACAGAUUUGUAGACAUUUUUACACAUGUACACGUUUACACGUACAAGUCUCUUCUUCUUAUCGGUGUCCUUUAGUAAUGGUUUCUUUGCAGAAAUUUGACCGUGAAGGCCUGAUUCAUGCAGUCUUCUCUGCAGAGGUAACUGGGUCUUCCUUUCCUGUGGCGGUCCUCAUGAGAGCCAGUUUCAUCAUAGCGCUUGAUGGUUUUUGCGACUGCACUUGAAGAAACUUGAAACAUUCAAAGUUCUGUCGUUUCUCUUUGCUUAUUUGAGCUGUUCUUGCCUUAAUAUGGACUUGGUCUUGUACCAAAUAGGGCUAUAUCCUGUAUACCACCCUUAUCUUGUCACAACACAACUGAUUGGCUCAAACAGAUUAAGAAGGAAAGAAAUUCCCCAAAUGUACUUUUAACAAGGCACACCUGUUAAUUGAAAUGAAUUCCAGGUGACUACCUCACGAAGCUGGUUGAGAGAAUGCCAAGAGUGUGCAAAGCUAUCAUCAAAGCAAAGGGUGGCUAUUUGAAGAAUCUCAAAUGUAAAAUAAAUUUAGAUUUGUUUAACACUUCUUUGGUUACUAUAUGAUUCCAUAUGUGUUAUUUCAGUUUUGAUGUCUUCACUAUUAUUCUACAAUGUAGAAAAUAGUAAAAAAUAAAGAAAAACCCUGGAAUGAG